UACAAGUAAGAACCCACCUUUGAGGAUGCAC
rnacentral:piRNA from 1 species